ACGAAUAUUGUCAAAAUACGUCGUAUAAUCUCGGGAAUAUGGCCCGAGAGUUUCUACCAAGCUACCGUAAAUAGCUUGACUACGAGGUAUAAUGGAGAUUGA
rnacentral:ncRNA from 1 species